rnacentral:hammerhead_ribozyme from 1 species
CUUCAGCUGACGAGUCCGGAACAGGACGAAACGCGUGUCUUAGAU